UCUGAAGAACACCCCUCCCCCCUCUGUUUUGCACAUGGUAUAGUCUUAAGGCAAUUACUAUAAGGUGAUCGGCGAUUCAACCAGGACGAGCCCAAACCCGUAAGGAGAGGGGGGGGUGGACGUGCUUAUGCAAUGCCCUGCCGUAGUAAUAGCCAGAGUAUUGUACGUGUCACGUCUCUGAGCGUUUUUCUCAUUACAAGUUAUGUAAUUCAAGGAUAUCUACGGAAGAACGUGGGGGGAGAACACAUUAGCACGUGCAUUUGUUUAAGCCUUUUGAGAUCUGUGACAGGAAAAAAGCCAAAUUCUAAGAAAAAGAAAAAAAAUACACAUCUGAGCUAGAGGAUGCGCAAUUGUGGAAAAACUGCUGGAGACCCAAAUAUGAAGGAAGAAAAGCACCAUAAACAAAAAAGGUGUCAUGAGUGAGACCCGCCGCGAUCAACAACUUAUGACAUGGAUGAGCGAAAAAGUCAAAUGUUGUUUAUAAUGACGGUAACACUUGGCACCAAUCGCUAAAAUCCUAACUUACACACAGGAAACCAUGGACAUCACGUCACAACAUGCUGCUGCAGAUGCCAACGUCGUCUACGACCACAGUGAAGCCUAUUCCAAUGACGAUGACAGUGAAGCUUACGCUGAAGAUAACAUUUCUAAAGUCUCAGUUGAAUCUGGUGGAAUUAGUGCUGGAGCCAAUUUGCUCAAUGUCUCUGCUAGAACUAAAGAUAAAAACUGAAACUAGAGCAGAACUAGCAAGUGUAUCAGCCUGUGUUGGGCCUAUAAAUAUUAACCCCUUAAGGACUCGGGCUUUCAUUUUUUCCUCCUUACCUAUUAAAAAUCAUAACCCUUUCAAUUUUGCCCCUAAAAUUCCAUAUUAUGGCUUAUGUUUUGCGCCACCAAUUCUACUUUGUAAUGACAGUCAUUUUACAAAAAAAAAAAAAAAAAAAACACUGCAUAACGGAAAAAAUUCAUUGUGCGAAAAAAAUUGAAGAAAAAUGCAAUUUUGUAACUUUUGGGGCAAAAAUGAUUAAAAUAUACGAAUAAAAUUAUGCUUGUAAUAAAA